rnacentral:lncRNA from 1 species
AUGACUGUUUGGAAAGAGGAAAGAGGCCAGCCUGUGGGUGUGAGCAGCUUGGAAGUGUCUCUGUCUCUUUGCUGCUCUCUCCUUCCCCAUUCACACUCUACAACACAUCUCUUCCAGCUCCACCAGCCUUCUCCUCAGUUUGACCUGAGAGAUCCGUACAGUCGCAAUCUGUGCACAGAGUACAACAGCCUGCAUGACCCGCAUCUGCGGGAGUUCCACAACGACAAAAACAACCUGCGGAACUGGAAGAAACGGGCUUGGUCACCGAGGAUGGCGACGUUGUCUGCACUCUGAAGGAGUUCAACGAGUACAGGCAGUACCUGACCAGGCUGAAGCUGGAGAAAAAGCAAGCAAAGAGGAGAAGAGGUAGGCAAAGCCCAGUAUUGGUAGGCACGUGUCAGCAGCAUGGCACUGAGGGCACGGGCUUUACUUGAUGGAUCUGAGGAGAUGGGAAAGCAGAAAAGUGAGGCGGGGCUGGUGGUCUAGGCAUUGAGGCAUGGAAAGGACAGCUCAGCUCAGAGCUGAGCUAGCACAGCGUGCUGGUGUGAAGGCAGCCUGGAAAGUUGCUUGCUUAACAAACAGAGCACUGUGGCAGCCGUUCUCUUCUGCCCUCAUUGCAAGGCUGAAGCAUGUGCUUGCCCUCUUCUGCGUUAAAGCAGCAGUACUUAGGGUGGGAAGCACUCUCUAAGACAAGACAAGCAUAAACCCUCUGUUCCUUCCAGGAUGAGCUUCUUCGGGAGAUUUCCAAUUUGAAGAAAUCGAUCCACAGACUACAGAUGGCCAGACAAGUUCCAGCCCGGUCCCGUGGAUUACAUUGCGGGUUCGAAAAUCAGACCCACCAAUUCUUCAUAAACCAGCUGGCCCCUCUCCUUCAUGCUAUAAUCUUCUGUCUGGCAAUGCAGAAGGAAUUGGCUUUGAGUGAGCGUGGCCUUCAGGGAGACUCAUGGAGCACAGGGCGGCAAUGAAGCUCCCUGAGAAGUCACCCAAACCUGCGUUGGGCAGGGAAGGCUCCAAACUCCCCAGAAGCAUCCGUACUGCUUCUGCCUCAACAACAAACUCCGGAGUCCCCAGAAGCAUCCAUACUGCUUCUGCCCCAACAACAACUCCGGAGUCCCCAGAAGCAUCCAGACUGCUUCUGCCUCAGCAACAAAACUCCAAACUCCCAGAAGCAUCGUACUGCUUCUGACCAAAAACAAACUCCAGAGUCCCUAGAAAGCAUCCAGGCCCCGUGAAGGGAAAAGGAAAAAAAGGGGAAAACAAGUAGGAGAUUGGCCAAAAAACAAAACAGUGGCAACAAAUUAGUUUUAAUUGGCUUAAUUAAUUUAAUUUGUUUAAUUCUUUUUAAUUUGUUUAAUUAAUUGACCAAAGAUGAUACCAGAAUGCAAGAUAACACACUACAGUACAAUAUAUCAUAAUUAGUAUCAGAAUUAGAAUUAAAACCAAUUAAAACCAAUAAAAAAAAUAAAAUUAGAAAGUGUGUCUGCA